GACGAACGCUGGCGGCGUGCUUAACACAUGCAAGUCGAACGGAAAGGCCCUGCUUUUGUGGGGUGCUCGAGUGGCGAACGGGUGAGUAACACGUGAGUAACCUGCCCUUGACUUUGGGAUAACUUCAGGAAACUGGGGCUAAUACCGGAUAGGAGCUCCUGCUGCAUGGUGGGGGUUGGAAAGUUUCGGCGGUUGGGGAUGGACUCGCGGCUUAUCAGCUUGUUGGUGGGGUAGUGGCUUACCAAGGCUUUGACGGGUAGCCGGCCUGAGAGGGUGACCGGCCACAUUGGGACUGAGGUACGGCGCAGACUCCUACGGGAGGCAGCAGUGGAGAAUAUUGCACAAUGGGCGGAAGCCUGAUGCAGCAACGCCGCGUGCGGGAUGACGGCCUUCGGGUUGUAAACCGCUUUCGCCUGUGACGAAGCGUGAGUGACGGUAAUGGGUAAAGAAGCACCGGCUAACUACGUG
rnacentral:rRNA from 1 species